UACGUAGGUGGCAAGCGUUGUCCGGAUUUACUGGGCGUAAAGAGCGCGCAGGCGGUCGGCCAAGUCGAGUGUGAAAGCCCCCGGCUCAACUGGGGAGGGUCAUUCGAUACUGGUCGACUCGAAGGCAGGAGAGGGAAGCGGAAUUCCCGGUGUAGUGGUGAAAUGCGUAGAUAUCGGGAGGAACACCAGUGGCGAAGGCGGCUCUCUGGGACGGUACUGACGCUGAGACGCGAAAGCGUGGGGAGCGAACAGG
rnacentral:rRNA from 1 species